CGGAACUACUUGAAAUAUUUCUUAAUUCUAUAACACAUUUUUAACGGUAGACACUGUUCGGUGUGUUGUAAAACGCUUUUUGUUCUCUGUGAUUUUCCCUUUUCUGUGUUGAAAACAAGUUUUUGAGUAUAUUUUUAUUUAUUCAUGCAGUUUUGUGGGCUGCUGUGGCAUGAAAACAAACUUGGGCCAAGCCGUAACUGCAUAAAAUGUGGGCUGCUAAAACAUGGAAACUUAUUUUAAAUACGAAAAGAACUCAAGGUUGAAGUCAGGCAGAACUCAUUUCAAAUAAGUUUUCAUCGUUUUGCCCCAAUCAAGAGCUGCUCUUAUGACGCACAAGAGAAAUGUUUGCUCUGCCAACUGAUGCGCAAAUAGGAAACGGAACGCCCACUCAUCGUCGGACAGUCGGAUAGAUGGACGGCCAACAUGGACAUGGACAUGGACACGGACAUGAACAUGACUUGAACAUUAACAUGGUCACGAGGACACAGACAUUGUCAUUUACCCAACCACACAAGAUGUGCUUUUGCGUCGUUGACAAGGUAAAGGCUAGCACUGGAAGGACCGAAAAGGUCAGAGGUUGUGCGCAAUCAGGGCACCAACAAUAUUAGGCAAAUAUAAUAAACUAGAUAAAUUUUAA